CCUACGGGUGGCAGCAGUCGAGAAUUAUUCACAAUGGGGGAAACUCUGAUGGUGCGACGCCGCGUGGGGGAAUGAAGGUCUUCGGAUUGUAAACCCCUGUCAUGUGGGAGCAAAUUAAAAAGAUAGUACCACAUGAGGAAGAGACGGCUAACUCUGUGCCAGCAGCCGCGGUAAUACAGAGGUCUCAAGCGUUGUUCGGAAUCACUUGGCGUAAAGCGUGUGUAGGCUGUUUCGUAAGUCGUGUGUGAAAGGCGCGGGCUCAACCCGCGGACGGCACAUGAUACUGCGAGACUCGAGUAAUGGGGGGGGAACCGGAAUUCGCGGUGUAGCAGUGAAAUGCUUAGAUAUCGAGAGGAACACUCGUGGCGAAGGCGGGUUCCUGGACAUUAACUGACGCUGAGGCACGAAGGCCAGGGGAGCGAAAGGGAUUAGAUACCCCAGUAGUC
rnacentral:rRNA from 1 species